AGAGGGACGAGCUCGCAUAUGUCUGGGUUUGAGUUCUUCCCACUACUAGAGUCUGAGGCAAUCUUAUGCCUAUUUUGUUUGACAUGAACUGGCAUUGUAGUGAACUGGACAGUGCAUUCUACUAAGCUGAUAGAGUCAAUUCCAUAAGGAUACGAAUAGCUAAAAUGGAUGGUGAAUGCCGUAGGCAUGGAUAAUUUGUUAGUAUAAAUUUGAUGUUGCAGAAUUUCAAUAUGAUAUUUUCUUAUUGAUUGAUGCUAGGUGGGGGAUUAUGUUAAUUUUAAGAGCAUAGCCAACCCAACAGAUGUUGUAGGCAAAGGGCCGAUCGCUAGUACGGAUCCUUCUACAGAGGUUGGUGGAGAAGAACUUGGAGCUAAUUGGUGUGAGAUUUAUGUUCAAGUCCCAAUCAGAUGGGAUGAGCAUUUGAUGAGGCCAUACGAAGGCCUUAAGACCGUUGGCGAUACCAUCGGUACUCCAAUAGCAUGACCUAUUUCAUUGGUAGUGAAAGAUGAUGAUAGUUGCUUUAUGGACUAAAUGAGAUCACUUGGAAGAUUCCUAGUAGAUAGAGUUAUGGCAUAUGGAUACUGAACUUAUAAGUUUUGUUUUGUUUUUUACUAGUGGUUGUUUUUUUGAUACCAUGGCAUCUCUCAUGGUAUUCUUCUAGUUUUUUGCUGGAAACUUUAGUAAGUUUCUUAGAAGUGAAGUUUGUUUUCUAGUGGAAGCGUUAGUUUCUUAAAACUGUUUCUGUUUCAUGUUUCGAUUUUUGAAUUUGGAUCCUUGUGAGUUUGUUGACUAGUAGUUUCUAUAGAAGUUAA